GGGGAUUUAAGCUCAAUUGGUAGAGUGCAUGCCUCACAUGCACAAAACCGUGGGUUCAAUCCCCAACAACCCCA
rnacentral:tRNA from 1 species